rnacentral:rRNA from 1 species
AGAGUUUGAUCCUGGCUCAGGACGAACGCUGGCGGCGUGCUUAACACAUGCAAGUCGAGCGGAAAGGCCCUUCGGGGUACUCGAGCGGCGAACGGGUGAGUAACACGUGAGCAACCUGCCCUUGGCUUUGGGAUAACCCUCGGAAACGGGGGCUAAUACCGAAUAUCCAUCUUUCAUCGCAUGGUGGUUGGUGGAAAGUUUUUCGGCCAGGGGUGGGCUCGCGGCCUAUCAGCUUGUUGGUGGGGUGAUGGCCUACCAAGGCGACGACGGGUAGCCGGCCUGAGAGGGCGACCGGCCACACUGGGACUGAGACACGGCCCAGACUCCUACGGGAGGCAGCAGUGGGGAAUAUUGCACAAUGGGCGGAAGCCCGAUGCAGCGACGCCGCGUGAGGGAUGACGGCCUUCGGGUUGUAAACCUCUUUCAGCAGGGACGAAGCGAAAGUGACGGUACCUGCAGAAGAAGCGCCGGCCAACUACGUGCCAGCAGCCGCGGUAAGACGUAGGGCGCGAGCGUUGUCCGGAUUUAUUGGGCGUAAAGAGCUCGUAGGCGGCUUGUCGCGUCGACUGUGAAAACCCGUGGCUCAACCAUGUGGUCUGCAGUCGAUACGGGCAGGCUAGAAUUCGGUAGGGGAGACUGGAAUUCCUGGUGUAGCGGUGAAAUGCGCAGAUAUCAGGAGGAACACCGGUGGCGAAGGCGGGUCUCUGGGCCGAUAUUGACGCUGAGGAGCGAAAGCGUGGGGAGCGAACAGGAUUAGAUACCCUGGUAGUCCACGCUGUAAACGUUGGGCGCUAGGUGUGGGGGGCCUCUCCGGUUCUCUGUGCCGCAGCUAACGCAUUAAGCGCCCCGCCUGGGGAGUACGGCCGCAAGGCUAAAACUCAAAGGAAUUGACGG